CGGCGGGCAGUAAGCUGAAAUCGGCUGAAAGGACGAGCUGGCAGGACGUUUCGCAGGAGGGCGAACCAGCACAGUGCCGAGCAGGAAAAGGCGAGAAACGGCCUGUGCUAAUUUUCCUGGCUAGUUGAUUUUUGGCGCGCUCCAGAUUUAAUCCUGCAGUCUAAGUGAAUGUGAAAUGUAACAAGCCAAGUGACAGUUACCAAAAGUCAGAAGACAACAGGAAGGACAGGAGAAAAGGGAAGGCAGAAAGCCAACGAACAGAUGGAAACAACUCGCAGAUGCUGAUGUUCCUGCCCCAGGAGACAUUUAACAUAAUAAAAACGAACGUGUGCGGCAUUUUGUGUUGCCUUUUGGCCAAGUUAACUCCUGUUCCUGCAUCUCUCUCUGUGUGUGUGUGUGUGUGUGUUCGUUACAUGCUAAUAUCACAUCGCCCCCGCACAACGCACACAAACUUACAAACAAACAAUAUUGCAAAUGUGUGCGUGAGGCAGUUGGCCAAAGUGUCGUAAAUCGUUUAGACAGCGCGACGUGGCCCAGAAAAAGGAGAUGAGGGCCAAAAACGAUAUGUAAACGACACAGCAGUCGCCGUGGGAAAAACUGGGAAGCGCCAACAGAAAAAGCCAAGGAAACGAAGGAUGCGACGAUGAACUGCAUUUGUUGCUCAUAUGCGAUGUGAGCUAUUUGAUAUGCGAUGAAAAAGUUUUGACAAAUUAACUUUUUGCAAUGAAGACUGAUUUAUCCAUUUGUUGCCUCCUCUUUCUGUUACAAAAAAUCCUACCAAAAAUGAAGAUGACGAUGGCCUAUCAAUACUGCGAUGCGUAUGAACAUCGCCAUAAAUAAGGCAAUUUUGUAAAAGAAAAAAAA